GACUGACUCAUAUGAAGUCAUUUUUGUACGGUUUCUCAUCGUGAGAUGUAAUGUAAUUCUGGUUUUAUUUUUUUCUCCCAGCUGCACAGCUGUCUUUUAUAAUGCACAUAGGUUAUAUUAAACCGAGCACUAAUUAUCACUGUGCCAAGAGGCAGCAGCGCUAGGACUGCAGAUGAAACAGAAAACAGAGCUACAGCAAAAAGUACAGCAGAUUAAACCUCACUCAUGACCUUUUAAGUCUUGUGGGUGAGCUCUGAGCUACACACUGAGAUAAAGUGGAAUUUCCUGGCUUCAGCAGAGAGAAACUCAUGUCUUUUUGCUCCGAAGCACAAAGCACUACUGCUCAAGAAUAAGGAGAAUCAUCCUUGCCACAUGCCAGGCUGUGGGAUGACUUCUGCUUCUCUUGAUAACACUCACAAGCACGUAUCUGACAGUCAGUCCUUUAAGCUUACAGGUGGCACGGAGGAACAGAAGGCUGGGGGAUUGAUGUGUUUCCAGACACCACGAAAUGAAGCUCUGGCAGAACUGAGAGGUAAGCCCUGAGUCGCCGGUGUUCUCCCACUUCAGGAAAGCCGAGCACCAUCAGCUAAUGGCCAUGAAUAUUUCAGCUGUGUCAUUAUUAUUUCACAGAGGUAAAUGCUGCAGGGAAGAGCUGGGAGAUGGCAGCACGUUGCGUUCGGCUGCACUUGGGGGUAGGAUGUGCAGAGUCACAGCACUGGGGACAACCUCUC
ensembl:lncRNA